rnacentral:ncRNA from 1 species
GUGUUGAGAGAAAGAGAGAAGGCUAGCACUGCCCUAGACCAGGAUGGAAGAGGCCCUCAAGCCUGACACACAAUAGCCUAGACUUCUUGUU